GACGAACGCUGGCGGCGUGCCUAAUACAUGCAAGUAGAACGCACAGUUUAUACCGUAGCUUGCUACACCAUAGACUGUGAGUUGCGAACGGGUGAGUAACGCGUAGGUAACCUGCCUGGUAGCGGGGGAUAACUAUUGGAAACGAUAGCUAAUACCGCAUAAUAUUAAUUAUUGCAUGAUAAUUAAUUGAAAGGUGCAAUUGCACCACUACCAGGUGGACCUGCGUUGUAUUAGCUAGUAGGUGAGGUAACGGCUCACCUAGGCGACGAUACAUAGCCGACCUGAGAGGGUGAUCGGCCACACUGGGAGUGAGACACGGCACAGACUCCUACGGGAGGCAGCAGUAGGGAAUCUUCGGCAAUGGACGAAAGUCUGACCGAGCAACGCCGCGUGAGUGAAGAAGGUUUUCGGAUCGUAAAGCUCUGUUGUAAGAGAAGAACGGGUGUGAGAGUGGAAAGUUCACACUGUGACGGUAUCUUACCAGAAAGGGACGGCUAACUACGUG
rnacentral:rRNA from 1 species